rnacentral:rRNA from 1 species
UACGGGGGGGGCAAGCGUUGUUCGGAAUUACUGGGCGUAAAGGGCUCGUAGGUGGCCAACUAAGUCAGACGUGAAAUCCCUCGGCUUAACCGGGGAACUGCGUCUGAUACUGGAUGGCUUGAGUUUGGGAGAGGGACGCGGAAUUCCAGGUGUAGCGGUGAAAUUCGUAGAUAUUGGGAAGAACACCGGUGGCGAAGGCGGCGACCUGGUCCUUGACUGACGCUGAGGCGCGAAAGCGUGGGGAGCAAACAGG